rnacentral:tRNA from 9 species
CAGCGGUUGAGCGGGGCAGGCAGGGUUUUCGCCAUCUGGCGGGUGGCGAAAAUAGGAUCGCUGCUGUUCUGAUCCAGCCGUAGCUGC